rnacentral:siRNA from 1 species
GAUUGUCGCUGUAAUUGGUCGCUG